rnacentral:rRNA from 1 species
UCCAGACUCCUACGGGAGGCAGCAGUGAGGAAUAUUGGUCAAUGGCCGCAGGGCUGAACCAGCCAAGUCGCGUGAGGGAUGACGGUCCUAUGGAUUGUAAACCUCUUUUGUCAGGGAGCAAAGGGCGCCACGUGUGGCGCUUUGCGAGUACCUGAAGAAAAAGCAUCGGCUAACUCCGUGCCAGCAGCCGCGGUAAUACGGAGGAUGCGAGCGUUAUCCGGAUUUAUUGGGUUUAAAGGGUGCGCAGGCGGAAUGUCAAGUCAGCGGUAAAAUUUCGGGGCUCAACCCCAUCCAGCCGUUGAAACUGGGGAUCUAGAGUGUGCGAGAGGUAUGCGGAAUGCGUGGUGUAGCGGUAAAAUGCAUAGAUAUCACGCAGAACCCCGAUUGCGAAGGCAGCAUACCGGUGCACAACUGACGCUCAGGCACGAAAGCGUGGGUAUCGAACAGGAUUAGAUACCCUAGUAA